ACAACAUGGUGUGGGCAUGAUCUAAGCAAGCUCUGUAACCUAUCCCAAGUCUCAUGGAAAUCUUCUCCCUCAUUUUGAGAGAAGGUAGUGAUGGCUCUCCUAUUGU